AACGCUGGCGGCGUGCUUUACACAUGCAAGUCGAACGGCAGCACGGGGGCAACCCUGGUGGCGAGUGGCGAACGGGUGAGUAAUACAUCGGAACGUAUCUUAAAGUGGGGGAUAACGCAUCGAAAGAUGUGCUAAUACCGCAUAAUCUCUAAGGAGGAAAGCAGGGGAUCGAAAGACCUUGUGCUUUUAGAGCGGCCGAUGCCUGAUUAGCUAGUUGGUAGGGUAAAGGCUUACCAAGGCAACGAUCAGUAGCUGGUCUGAGAGGACGACCAGCCACACUGGGACUGAGACACGGCCCAGACUCCUACGGGAGGCAGCAGUGGGGAAUUUUGGACAAUGGGCGCAAGCCUGAUCCAGCCAUGCCGCGUGAGUGAAGAAGGCCUUCGGGUUGUAAAGCUCUUUCGGUCGGGAAGAAAUAGUUAUGGCUAAUAUCCAUAAUGAAUGACGGUACCGACAUAAGAAGCACCGGCUAACUACGUGCCAGCAGCCGCGGUAAU
rnacentral:rRNA from 1 species